rnacentral:tRNA from 1 species
GCCAGCAUGGUGUAGUGGUUUGAGCAUUGGACUAUGACUCUGGAGACUGGGGUUCAAAUCCCCACUCAGCCA